AGAAUCUCCUUAUAGACAGGUGCAAAAAUCCUCUUUUGCAACCCAGAACUCAUUGUUCAGUAUGAGUUUUGAUACAGGUAAGAAGGAACAUG
ensembl:snoRNA